rnacentral:lncRNA from 1 species
CGCGCGGUGGCCGCUCGGUCAGAGCUCGUGCACAUGCAGGGCUCUCACGUGCACUGCGGCUGGGUUCGCUUGUCGUAACAGGGCUGUCGACGUUUCGGUUGUUGAGCAACGCCUGCCAUGCACG